GACGAACGCUGGCGGCGUGCUUAACACAUGCAAGUCGAGCGGAGAGGCCCUUCGGGGUACUCGAGCGGCGAACGGGUGAGUAACACGUGAGUAACCUGCCCCAGACUUUGGGAUAACCCUCGGAAACGGGGGCUAAUACCGGAUACGACACAGCUUCGCAUGGGGUCUGUGUGGAAAGUUUUUCGGUUUGGGAUGGGCUCGCGGCCUAUCAGCUUGUUGGUGGGGUGAUGGCCUACCAAGGCGACGACGGGUAGCCGGCCUGAGAGGGCGACCGGCCACACUGGGACUGAGACACGGCCCAGACUCCUACGGGAGGCAGCAGUGGGGAAUAUUGCACAAUGGGCGGAAGCCUGAUGCAGCGACGCCGCGUGAGGGAUGACGGCCUUCGGGUUGUAAACCUCUUUCAGCAGGGACGAAGCGUAAGUGACGGUACCUGCAGAAGAAGCGCCGGCCAACUACGUG
rnacentral:rRNA from 1 species